rnacentral:rRNA from 1 species
GACAGAGGUGCCAAGCGUUAGGCGGAAUCACUGGGCUUAAAGCGUGUGUAGGCGGAAUUGUAAGUACCUUGUGAAAUCCCACGGCUCAACCGUGGAACUGCUUGGUAUACUGCUUUUCUUGAGCCACUUAGGGGCUACCGGAACAAAUGGUGGAGCGGUGAAAUGCGUAGAUAUCUGGAGGAACACCGGUGGCGAAGGCGGCAUCCUGGACCAAUAUUGACGCUGAGGAGCGAAAGCUAGGGGAGCAAACGGG